GAACUUGCAGUUAUUCAAAGUUAUGGUGGAUAGACCAGGUACAGUAAUUACCUAAAGUUUGCAGAUUUAAUUAUAGGCUUGUUUUCCCUUACCUCUUUUCAUGGCAAGUCGUAUUAUUAAUGCAGUUAUGUUACUAUUGUUGUGGGGUAUUGGGUUCUUCGGUAUGAAGAGUUCUCUUGCCCCCAUUCCUUUUAUUUGCAAACAUUUGGUCCCCAUCUACAAAUUGGUCUGGGAUACUGUCUUUCUGUAUGGUACAAGGAAUAUUUAUGUAUUUUGGAAUUUAUUGCUCUUCCAGAAGGUCUAUAACACAGUUGUCACAUGUGCAACACAUCGAGCUGUACCUGUUCAUCUAUCCUGUUUUCAUAUAGAAGGGAACUUACUCUCCAGAAAAGCCAUUUGAGAACUAUUUGGCAAUGCUUUUAAAAUAGAUUUUUAUAUAUAUAUAUAUAUAUAUAUGCAUAUUAUGAUUCUCUUGGAUUUGAAAUCACAGUCAUGGAAUUAUUGAGAAUGGACUCACACGUGAAGCUUGGAUUUGAAUGACCUCAAACAUCAGGGAGUUUGAGUCCAGGCUCGUGCACUGCAGCCAGGAGCUCACGGUGCAGAGUUCACAUUUAGUUGUGUCUUCAAGAACGUGGUGAGAUCAAACAACAACAAAGCAGUUGACAGCUCACACUUAUCCCAAAUUCUGAGUUGCAGCACGUGAAUAGCUGUCAGGAUGCCCUUUUAACAUCACGAAACCAAAAGAAUUGGAUGCUUGCCAUCUGUUCACCUUAAGCAUUUCAAGUGGCUUUCUUUUCGGUAGUUCAGAGCCUUUAUUUUGUAUAGGUCUUUCUGGUGAUAUUUACUUACAGAUCUUUGCUGUCAGAGGCAAAAUGUGUCAACAUCAGUGACGAGCAGCUGCUGUACGUGUGGGUAGCAGUGCAAUGAUGGGCGAUGCAAAACUGAACGCUGAGAGCCCUUCGAGUCGGAGUCUUUCUGGGAACUUUUGUAAGCUGUUUGAUGUUCUGUUUGUCCUAAAGAAAGCUGAAGUGACCUUUAAAGAUAACACUUGCCUUAAAUUAUAGCGUUCCCUUUUCUGUUUUUUUAAUCUGAAAGGGUAUCUGUUAGUUACUCCUGUAAAAAAGGGUGCGUGGAAUCCAGUCCUGUACACUAAACUUACCUGAACUGCUUUCUGUGCAUCUGGAUUGCAGCUUUGCAUGAUCAUAAUCGUUGCACUACUAUACCGAAUCUUUUUACUGCAACACUGAGGAAUAGCACUGCAAUUUUUUUAAGAACCAAUUUUCGAGUAUUUCUAAAGUGGGGAAAUAGUUUUCUUGUUUCAGAUGAAUGAUUUUGGUGCAUGGAAUAAACGGCUCGGUUAUUUUUAAGAGACCACCAUAAACGACUCCAAAGAACACUAGACCUAUAUGCCUAUUUUUUUUGUAAAGCUACUUUUGUAUUUAACUGAUUUCAGAAGCUGGAAAGUGCUAUUCCUGGUCGGUUGUCCUUGGAAUAUUUGCCAUUCUGCAAUAACACAAAAGCCCUCACACUUUUAUAUGCUAUUAUUUUUGGUAAGCCCAACUUUUCUAAGCAUCCUGCUUUUGCUACUUUAUCUACCCGUGACAUUAGCUUGAUGUAGAAGAGGUAGAGUGAGAGAUGUGCAUUUGUACACGUGGCUUGUGGUGCCUUGUCCUGCCUUCCUAGAGCUAGAACUGCAGUGUAAAGGCAAUUAGAAGGCCUGUUACACAUCCUUCUAGAAAACCAUAGAUACACUUAGACCUUACUGUGACUUAUUACAGGAGUGUUCAGGCACAGAAAGAAAAUCCUGCAGAGCGACCUGGUUAGGAAGAAUUAACUGUUGCCCUUUCUUAGUUAUUGGGUUCUGAUGUCACGUUCUCAUCCCGAAUGCAGUUUCUCAGCCAUAAUGAUCCUUUGUAGGGGUUCAGUCUGUGCUGCAGUGUGAGAUGUAGAAAAAGGGAUGACUUCUUUUGUCACAUAACAGCAUUUGUGUUGAUGUAGAGUUGGAAAAGGUUGUUGUGGCGCUCCUUGCUCGUACGGUUAACCCUUCAAAACGUAGAAUAGGAAGGGAUGCCAUCAGUUUGUUACAUUCUGAGCUCCCCUUUAAAGCCCCAGUCGGCCCUUGGUGCUGUCUGAGGCUGAGAGCAGCUGGCCAUUGCACUCAGCACACCUGCAUGCAUGUCAGCAUGGAGCAGCUCUGUGCAGCUGCUGUUGUGCGUGCUGCCUGCACCUCAACGCACACAACUGCCAAACCUGCUCAAGCAGCAGCGUGCUGCCUUGUAAUGAUAAUAUAUUCUGAUAAUAUAUUCUCCCUGCUUUCCAGGCAAUCUUCAGACCAUUGUAAUACGCUAGAUUCAGCAUGAAGUGUUUUAAUGAUGCUGUCUGAACGCUUGUAAACAAAGCUGAGGCUCUUGCUGUAAGGAAUGUAUGCUUUAUGUCCUCACAGCGCAGCGUUGAGCAUUGGAGCCUUUCUUUUGGGGACGCAGUUCAAGCAAGUGCCAGGUUGGUCAUUCCAAAAUGUGUGACAGCAGGGCCCAGUGUCCUGUUGGCUCCUUAGGCACAGCUGAGUGGUGCUGGGGCAGAAGCUGGCCAUAAAUCCCUUGUGGCUUCAGCAGAGCUCAGUGGGGCACAGCGCUGCUCUCCCCCAGGUGAGCUCUGUGCAUCGCUGGGUGGUGCGAAGCCUUCGCGUCUGGUGUGGGCAGAGCGCUUUCAUCUGGCCCCAAUCAGCAGCCCGACAUUAAUUAAAAAAAAAAAAAAAAAAAAAAAAACACCCUUUCAUAACUAUGUAAAUUCUUGACUUCUGUCAACUUGUUUACAAUCUGAUCUUUGAAUGCAUUUUUAAUUUCAUCAAACAGCAAUUAAUCUAGGCCUGUUUAAAUUUAAAAUGAUGCUCCUAGCCCCUUCUGAAGCAGUUACCCUUUCAAGUAGGCAUUCCAGUUUGCAAGCUGGCUGCAUGUAUUAGCAUGCUGAGCAACUUGCUCUAAUCCCAAGCUGAAACACUCUGAAUUUUCCAUUAAAACAGGUGACUUGUGUUCCCCGAACAGAAAACCCAUCUGGUUUUGUGUGGGAGAACAUAGGGGAGUACACGCAUGAUUUUCUUUCUUUUUCCUUUUAACAUAAAUUUCCUUCUCCCAGAGAUUCCCCAUGCAUCCCCAGCUGCGGGUUGACCGAGAGCCAUGGGAGCUUCUGGAAGGUUCUGUGCUCCCUGCAGCUCUCCUGCCUGCCUGCAGGUCUGUGUCAAUGGCCCUCGUGGACAGGCGCAGCCACAGCUCUCCUACGUUUGCAUUUUCCCAUCAAAUUGGUGGUUUUUUUUCCUGUGGCAGGCAUGCCUGAACCCAUGGAGAGCUGCAUGUCGUUCCAUGAUAAGAGGAGAGAUGUAAUCGAGUUUUUAUGCUAAAGUAGCAAAUUAGCAUUUCAUAUCAAAGGAGCACAGACAUGAAUAAAUGGGAGAUGCCUGCGCCAAACCCGCUGAUGCCUAUCUCAGUGGAGAACAAAAAGUGGCAAAGUGCAGUCAACAGUUUUUUUCCACCCUUUGCCACUCAGAGUACGAUCUGAAUGCAGCCCAUUAACAUUUUUUUCUCUUUUUUUUCCAGAAGAAAGCUUUAUCCCCAGUGCAAAAUGUUUAAUCUGCCUCAGAACCCGUGCCACUAACUUAUGUGUUCAUAGAGGGAGGGGGGGAGCGGAGCAGGAUGGGUUACGGAGGCUCCCAGCACAGGGCAUGGGGAAUACUUGAAGAGUUGAUCCGAUCUGUUGUAGUUUGCUUCUGUCCUUCACUCUCUGGAACAUCUUUUACAGAUAUCCCAGUGUACUGCUGGCAGCUAUUGUUAAAAAUAAAAUUAUAUUUUCACUACCAAGCAGAUCUUUCUGUUGUUAUUGAGGACUUGUGGUGUGCGUAAGCUGGGACGUGAACGCGGUGCCCUGAACUCCUGGGCAAGGUCUGAGUGGAUUCAGCUCUCAAUCUUUGUUUUUUCAGUGCUGCUGUGACUUCAGGAGGAAUGCACUCUGCUGCUCACGUUCCUGCUGGCUGCAGUGGCUCUUAGCAGAGCAGUAGAACAAGUUGAGUAUUCUACAGAAACUUGGAGGAGGAUACCACAUUUUCGAAGUUAAACUGGAAGAAUUGAUGACCGUGACAAUUGUAAUGGAUUUUCAGUAUUAUUUCCAACUUUCUUGCACCCGAGUCACCAGCUCAAGAGCUGAAUUUGUGUCUGCAGACAUCACAGACUGUGACUUUCAGUGCUCUUAGCCCACGUUUCAGCCCUUACUGCCUUGUGCUUUGUAGGAAACCUGUGGAAUCCAGGUGACGUCCCAGAGCCCAUGGUCUGCGAUGCCAUAUUGAGUGAGAGCAUGUGCAGGUAAGGAAGGCGCAUGAAGGAAGUGGAGCCAUUAAGCCCUUGGUGGGAUUCCGUCCCUAUGGCACCGUAUGGAUGUGCUGACAGCAGGGGUUGUGAUCAGAGCAGGGUUUUGCAGUGGGAUCUGCAGGCCUUGGGUUUGCUCACGUGCACACAGAACCACAUGGAGCACGAGGUGGGAGAACAAGGUCCUCAUGUUACACACACACACUGAGAGGGGAUGGGAUUGAGCUAUGAAGAUGUUAGUGCUAAAUAUUCCGUCUAAUUAUAACGUGCUGCUUCCAAUUAACUGAUGGCCUUCAUGCUUUUCACUGGAAACUGUUUUAAGACCUUUCAUGUGACAUGUUUCGCGUGACCUUUUAUGGCAAAGAGGUGGAACCGAUCCGUUUUCAUAACACUUCAGUAAUAUUAAUUGCAGCAUGGAAAAAUCCAGAAACAAUUUUCUCAUUAUUUCUUCAAACCAACAAAAUGCAGCUGAAAAAGGCCAAGGAAACCCUGCAGGGUCCUCCUUGGUGUAGGAAUAAAGCAGCUUGUCUGAGGGCAGCUGAGAUUCCUAUGGAAGGAGAAAGGAAAACGGGCAAACCUUUGUGUUGAGUGGGAUGGAAAGGGAACUGGUUGGAGGUGGUUGCCCGAGGGCUUUUGGACACUCGUUACAAGGAAGGCUGAGCAUGAGCUGAGUGUCUGAAUGUCUUUGCAGUCUCCAAGUCUCCAGGAGAAAGGGCGGAUGCAGUGACUCACAGAUUGGGGCUGUGUUUGACUGUAGUGGUUCCCAAAGUGCUCUGAGUCACAGGCUUGGGAUGGUGAUGGGUCCAUGGCAGCAUUGGGUCUGGGAAGGCAGCGGGUCCUUGGCAAUGGGUCUAUGGUGAUGGUUCUGGGAUGGUGAUGGGUCCAGGAUGGCAUUGGGUCUGGGAUGGUGAUGGUAGUUUUCAUCCAACCUAAAGCAGGAAAUGGUACUGGAAAAGGGUGAACGGUUCACAGUGAUUUGACUUUGCAAUCCCAGGCAUCUGGGAGCUGCUGCCAUAGGGCUUCACUUCAGUGCGUUCUCUGCAACAGCAGGAUUCCCCUGGAGCACUUGCGUCCAAGUGCUUGGGUUAGGGUGAUCUGCUGUGCUCAGCAGGAAAAGAUGUGAAGAGUAAAGAGCUGCCUGUCUUAACUGGGAGAGGAAAAGGAAGGUCUGCAGGUAAGCAGUGCUACGCUGCUCCGGAUGCACUCGGUCUUGCUGCAUUCAGAGCUGAUGCUGGAGGGUUUCCAGAGCCAGCAAAGAGAACUCAUGAUUCUUUUGAGUCAGGAGAAGAGCUGCUGUGUUCUUACCACUGGACAGAGAGAUGAAAACGGUUGCUAAACAAAGAUCAAACAUGAACUUUAUAAAUAAACAAACAGAAUUGAUGCUAAGGGACGUCUCAACCGCUUUGCCUACGGCAAAGGGCUUGGCAGGACCUGGGAGAUGACUGUCGGUCUGCAGAUGGAAUUCUUAUUUUAAGGAGUCUGAUUGAAGUAAUAUGGGGAAGAGUUGGGAGGCUGUGCUGCUUGAAAUGGCCUUUUCUGUCCAUGCCCUUCUCACAGCCACUUCUGCUCUCUGCUUUCCUACCAACACCACGGCUCACU